AAUGAAUGUUGGCGGCGUGGAUUAGGCAUGCAAGUCGUACGCUUUAUGUAGCAAUACAUGAGGAGUGGCGUAAGGGAGAGUAAUGCAUGGUUAGCUACCCUCGGGACUGGGAUAGCGGCGGGAAACUGCCGGUAAUACCAGAUGACAUCUUCGGAUCAAACGUGUAAAUCGGCCCGAGGAGGUGACCAUGUCCUAUCAGCUAGUUGGCGGUGUAACGGACCACCAAGGCUAAGACGGGUAUGGGGCGUGAGAGCGUGCCCCCACUCACUGGGACUGAGACACUGCCCAGACACAUACGGGUGGCUGCAGUCGAGAAUCUUCGGCAAUGGGCGCAAGCCUGACCGAGCGACGCCGCGUGCGGGAUGAAGGCCUUCGGGUUGUAAACCGCUGUCGUAGGGGAGGAAGGCUCCGUGCAGAACGGAGUUUGACCGAUCCUAGGAGGAAGGGCCGGCUAAUCUCGUGCCAGCAGCCGCAGUAA
rnacentral:rRNA from 1 species